rnacentral:rRNA from 1 species
AGCGGUGCCUGCCAUGCUCUUCAACGGCAGCACAGUAAGAGCUUGCUCUUAUGGGUGGCGAGUGGCGGACGGGUGAGGAAUACAUCGGAAUCUACUUUUUCGUGGGGGAUAACGUAGGGAAACUUACGCUAAUACCGCAUACGACCUUCGGGUGAAAGCAGGGGACCUUCGGGCCUUGCGCGAUUGAAUGAGCCGAUGUCGGAUUAGCUAGUUGGCGGGGUAAAGGCCCACCAAGGCGACGAUCCGUAGCUGGUCUGAGAGGAUGAUCAGCCACACUGGAACUGAGACACGGUCCAGACUCCUACGGGAAGGCAGCAGUGGGGAAUAUUGGACCAAUGGGGCGCAAGCCUGAUCCAGCCAAUACCGCGUGGGGUGAAGAAGGCCUUCGGGUUGUAAAGCCCCUUUUUGUUGGGGAAAGAAAAGCAGCGGGCUUAAUACCUUUGCUUGUUCUUGACGGGUAACCCAAAAGAAUAAGCACCCGGCUUAACUUUCGUGGCAACAAGCCGCGGUAAUACCAAAGGGUGCAAGCGUUA